rnacentral:rRNA from 1 species
UACGUAGGGUGCAAGCGUUAAUCGGAAUUACUGGGCGUAAAGCGUGCGCAGGCGGUUCGCUAAGACCGAUGUGAAAUCCCCGGGCUUAACCUGGGAACUGCAUUGGUGACUGGCGGGCUAGAGUAUGGCAGAGGGGGGUAGAAUUCCACGUGUAGCAGUGAAAUGCGUAGAGAUGUGGAGGAAUACCGAUGGCGAAGGCAGCCCCCUGGGCCAACACUGACGCUCAGGCACGAAGGCGUGGGGAGCAAACAGG